GAGUUUGAUCAUGGCUCAGGAUGAACGCUAGCGGCGGGCUUAAUACAUGCAAGUCAAGGGGUAGCAAUACACCGGCGUACGGGUGCGUAACGCGUAUGCAACCUACCUAUCACUGGGGGAUAGCCCGGGGAAACCCGGAUUAAUACCGCAUGCAACUGUGAUAUCACCUGAUAUUAUAAGUUAAAGAUUUAUUGGUUAAAGAUGGGCAUGCGUUCGAUUAGAUAGUUGGCGAGGUAACGGCUCACCAAGUCUACGAUCUUUAGGGGCUCUGAGAGGAGAAUCCCCCACACUGGCACUGAGAUACGGGCCAGACUCCUACGGGAGGCAGCAGUAGGGAAUAUUGGGCAAUGGGCGGAAGCCUGACCCAGCCACGCCGCGUGCAGGAAGACGGCCCUCUGGGUUGUAAACUGCUUUUAACUGGGAAGAAAAGAGGCUUUGCGAAGCAAGUUGACGGUACCAGUUGAAUAAGCCACGGCUAACUACGUGCCAGCAGCCGCGGUA
rnacentral:rRNA from 1 species